UGCCAGCCGCCGCGGUAAUACGGAGCAUGCAAGCGUUAUCCGGAUUUAUUGGGUUUAAAGGGGCCGUAGGCGGAAAAUUAAGUCAGUAGUGAAAUCCUGCAGCUUAACUGUAGAACUGUUAUUGAUACUGGUUUUCUUGAAUAUAGUUGAGGUAGGCGGAAUAAGUAAUGUAGCGGUGAAAUGCUUAGAUAUUACACAGAACACCGAUUGCGAAGGCAGCUUGCUAAACUAUGAUUGACGCUGAUGCACGAAAGCGUGGGGAGCGAACAGGAUUAGAUA
rnacentral:rRNA from 1 species